rnacentral:lncRNA from 1 species
CAGGGAGCCUGGAGGUGCGGGUGCCAGGCGCCAGGAUGCGGUGGCCGGUUACCGUGUUGGGGAGCAGCCCAGGCUCACCAUAAACGGCGCGGUGCCGACGGUCCGGAGGAGAGAGAGGCACGUUGCAUACGCACAUUAGGCACAGACCCGGCAACCUAGCGGUGUAGCGUUUUGGUGCUGCAGUGGCAGGGUGCAGGGUCCCGGUAACCAGGGGAUGGAAAUCCAGCCCCGGAGCUAGGCUGGCGCUGCUGGCCGAGAGCCUUGGGCUGCUGGAGGACUGGUGUCCACAUGGGGCUGUACGCGAUGUCUUGCUCUCCUUCUUUCUGGGCCAGGGUUAACCUCGGAAGAUUCGCGAUGCAGCGGGCAGCGGUGCUGGUGCGGCGGGGCUCCUGCCCCCGCGCCUCGGGCCCCUGGGGCCGUAGUCACAGCAGCGCUGCAGCCGAAGCCUCGGCGGCGCUCAAGGUGCGACCAGAGCGUAGCCCUCGAGACCGCAUCCUCACCCUGGAGUCCAUGAACCCGCA